UCCUCAAUGCAGGCUGUACCAGCACUUUCAUCCGAAGCCAUCAUUGUGUUAAUAUUCGCCACCAUUUCCUCCGCGGCACUCAUGGCACGGUCAACUGAGAAAGAUAGUUCACGACCAUAGAUUUUUUUUCUUUCGGCCCCGUCGCUUUCAGUUAGAAGAUUUUCGUUUACCGACCCUUGUGGUGGUGGAAACGUUCACGCCAACCUCGCCAUGUGUUUGUUCGGCCUCAUCGCUUGAACCACUGCUCUCGACGUCGACCGGGAUAGCAUCCCUAUUGUCUUCAAGCGCACUGUCCUCGAACAGGCUG
rnacentral:lncRNA from 1 species